rnacentral:rRNA from 1 species
UGGGGAAUCUUGCACAAUGGAGGAAACCCUGAUGCAGCGACGCCGCGUGAGCGAUGAAGCCCCUCGGGGUGUAAAGCUCUUUCGGCAGGGAAGAUUAUGACGGUACCUGCAAAAGCAGCUGCGGCUAACUACGUGCCAGCAGCCGCGGUAAUACGUAGGCAGCAAGCGUUGUUCGGAGUUACUGGGCGUAAAGGGUGCGUAGGCGGCUUUUUAAGUUUGGUGUGAAAUCUCCCGGCUCAACUGGGAGGGUGCGCCGAAUACUGAGAGGCUAGAGUGUGGGAGAGGAAAGUGGAAUUCCUGGUGUAGCGGUGAAAUGCGUAGAUAUCAGGAGGAACACCGGUGGUGUAAACGGCUUUCUGGACCAUAACUGACGCUGAGGCACGAAAGCGUGGGUAGCAAACAGGAUUAGAUACCCUGGUAGUCCACGCCCUAAACGAUGCAUAUUUGGUGUGGGCCAUUCAUUUGGUCUGUGCCGGAGCUAACGCGUUAAGUAUGCCGCCUGGGGAGUACGGUCGCAAGGCUG